GUGGAUUAGAUACCCGGGUAGUCCUGGCAGUAAACGGUGUGCGCUUGGUGUGAGGGGAUUCGACCCCCCUUGUGCCGGAGCUAACGCGUUAAGCGCACCGCCUGGGAAGUACGGCCGCAAGGCUAAAACUCAAAGAAAUUGACGGGGACCCGCACAAGCGGUGGAGUAUGUGGCUUAAUUCGAUGCAACGCGAAGAACCUUACCUAGGCUUGACAUGCAUCUCUAAACACGUGAAAGCGUGUGACCCUUCGGGGAAUUUGCACAGGUGCUGCACGGUUGUCGUCAGCU
rnacentral:rRNA from 1 species